rnacentral:rRNA from 1 species
CAUAGCGACUAUCGUGGCAUAUCAAUAAGCGGAGGAAAAGAAACUAACAAGGAUUCCCCUAGUAACGGCGAGUGAGGCGGGAAGAGCUCAAAUUUGAAAUCUUAAAGGGUUUCCCUUUACGAAUUGUAGUUUAAAGAAGUGUUUUCUGUUGGAGUUUCGGUAAAAGUUCUUUGGAAUAGGACAUCAUAGAGGGUGAGAAUCCCGUAUUUGAUCGUACUUUCUAAGCUGUGUGAUACACUUUCAAAGAGUCGGAUUGUUUGGGAAUGCAGUCCAAAAUGGGUGGUAAAUUUCAUCUAAAGCUAAAUAUUGGCGAGAGACCGAUAGCGAACAAGUACCGUGAGGGAAAGAUGAAAAGAACUUUGAAAAGAGAGUUAAACAGUACGUGAAAUUGUCAAAAGGGAAGCGUUUGACACCAGUGUUGUUUUUCCGAAAAUCAAUUAUGAAUGGCUUGAUUUUAAGUUUCAUGACCUUAAAAGCUUGUUUCUUAUUUUUCAUGUCUUUCGUAAUGCACUUUUCGGUUAACAAGUCAACAUCAAUUUCUUUUGUUGUAAAAGGUUAAGAGGAAGGUGGCUUUACUUUCGGGUAAAGUGUUUAUAGCCUUUUAACUCUGCAAUCGGAGAGAUUGAGGUCUGCAGCGUAGAUCCUUCGGGGUUAGAUACAUUUGUGCUAAGUUAUAGCUUUUCAUAGACAACUUGUUGACUAUGUUAAGUCUUGUAAUUUACUCGCAGAUGCUAUUUUACCUACGCUUAGGAUGUUGAUAUGCAUGACUGAUAU